rnacentral:rRNA from 1 species
AACGAACGCUGGCGGCAUGCCUAACACAUGCAAGUCGAACGAGACCUUCGGGUCUAGUGGCGCACGGGUGCGUAACGCGUGGGAAUCUGCCCUUGGGUUCGGAAUAACAGUUAGAAAUGACUGCUAAUACCGGAUGAUGUCGUAAGACCAAAGACUUAUCGCCCAAGGAUGAGCCCGCGUAGGAUUAGCUAGUUGGUGGGGUAAAGGCCUACCAAGGCGACGAUCCUUAGCUGGUCUGAGAGGAUGAUCAGCCACACUGGGACUGAGACACGGCCCAGACUCCUACGGGAGGCAGCAGUAGGGAAUAUUGGACAAUGGGCGAAAGCCUGAUCCAGCAAUGCCGCGUGAGUGAUGAAGGCCUUAGGGUUGUAAAGCUCUUUUACCCGGGAUGAUAAUGACAGUACCGGGAGAAUAAGCUCCGGCUAACUCCGUGCCAGCAGCCGCGGUAACAC